rnacentral:rRNA from 1 species
AACGAACGCUGGCGGCAUGCCUAACACAUGCAAGUCGAACGAGACCUUCGGGUCUAGUUGCGCACGGGCGCGUAACGCGGGGGAACCUGCCCUUAGGUUCGGAAUAACUCCCCGAAAGGUGUGCUAAUACCGGAUAAGCUCUUCGGACCAAAGAUCUAUCGCCGUUGGGUGGGCGCGGGUUGGUUUAGGCAGUUGGUAGGGUAAAAGCAUACCAAGGCGACGAUCCAUAGCUGGUCUGAGAGGAUGAUCAUCCACACUGGGACUGAGACACGGACCAGACUGGUACGGAAGGGAGCAGUGGGGAAUAUUGGACGAGGGACGAAGGCCUGAUAAAGCCAUGCCGGGGGAGUGAUGCAGGCGUUAGGGUUGUAAAGCUGUUUUACACGGGAUGAGAGUGACAGUACCGGGAAAAUAAGCUCCGGCUAACUACGUG